UUUCACAGAGUUGAGGUGAAAGGCUUUAAUGAGCAGGCCAUACAAACAUACUUAUCUGCAAUGCUCGGAGAGGAACAGAAGAAGGUUUUGAGCAACUUGGAGUUGUUCACUCUUUGCCAUGUCCCAAUGUAUGCACUGAUGGUGUCUGUCUGCUUUUCAUCUGAGACACCAGAAGACUCUCCACAGCCGUGCAGUAUAGCUGACAUCUACAUCAAUAUUGUUCGCCAGUGCCUUCAGAUCAACAGCCCAAAAAAAACCAAAGAUCUAGAUUUCUUCAGCAAGACCAACUGGGAUGAAAUACUAUCUCUGGCUGAGGUUGCUUUUCAUGCGACUGAAGGAAAAUCUGUGAACUUGACAAAACGUCCCUGUGAAGACAGCUGUGUCCUUUCCUUCCUGAAUCCACUUGUUAUCAAAGUCCACCCCACGGAGAGAAUCACCACGCAUGCAUUUCUCCACUACACCAUGCAGGAGUUUUUUGCAGCGCUGUGGAUCUUAUCGAAUCCAGAUCAAAUCAAGGAUGUUCUUCAGCAAUGCCUCACUGAGGAGAAGAAACACAUGAAACAUCUGAUCCCUUUCAUGUGUAGAUUGUUGAAUGUGAAGAGCGCGAGUCUCAUGAAGUGUCUGAUUCCAGCUCAGGAGCUCAAGAAUACAUCGAACUGGUUCUUUGAGGAAAUGAUCGACACAUUGUGUGAGACGGAUGAGGCUGGUCCUGAGGACAGUGGGCGUGAUGUGGACACACUGUUCCUAUGCCAGUGCUUGUAUGAGUCCCAGUGUCCUGACGCAUGCAGGAACCUCCUGGACAAGCUGGACUACCAUCUGGAUCUCAGAGGAGAGAGUCUGGACCCUCUCCCCUGCUGUGCUGUGGCCUAUGUGGUCGCUCAGUCGACGGAGAGGAAAAUAUCGCUGAACCUUGAGGACGUCAUGGUAUCAGAACAAGGAAUGAGACAACUAUUUGGAUGCCUUAAAAAUGUCCAAAGGUGUGACCCUCUGCUGCUGCAGCUGUGGAGGGUUUUGCUUCUGAGUGAAGGGCAGAUGGACCACAUCAGCUUACUUGGCCUUGAUGGAAAUCAGUUGCACCUUCCAGUUGAGGGUCAAAGCGAGCUGUUUCAAAGAGCAGUGAGAGUCAUGCAGAGGAAUCCUACGAAGGUUAACGUCUGCCUCCACUGGGAGAGAGAAACUCCAGUCUGCCCGAGUCUGUGCACGUCUCUCUUAGAGGCUUUGCCACACAUCAGCUCACUCAGCUUCAGGAUGACACACACAGGUCCAGCAUUACAGGACCAGGAGCAACGGACACUGGAGAGGGAGGAGAAGAAGCAGGUGUUACUGGAUUUAUGCCUGAAAGCAGCACUUCACGAAGGACAAAGCUUUCUCAAGGAAGUGGAGACGCUCCUCUCAUUGUUUUCUGUCACCACUGACUUAAAUAACACCCUUCUUGACUUUUAUCAGCAUGUCGAGACUAAAGGGUUUUCAGCUGUCAUUCCAAAACUGAGGCCACUUUCCCAGUCAGCUCCUUCAGUCUGGUCCAUAGACCUCUCACAGAGAAAGACCUCCAUCCUCCUGGAAGUGCUGAAACUCCAACCAGAGAAGAAACAAGUGGAGCUGAGAGGCUGCUCACAUGAAGAGAGUGAAGUGAGGAGUUUCCUACAGUGUCUGCCUUUUAUCUCACAGCUCAGUGUCCUUGAGCGAGACACUGAUCCCUUAGUGACAGAAAGAUGUCUCUCAGAGGAGCCUCCCUCCUCUUUAGAGGAGCAACACAAGUACACAGUCUGAGGCUUUCCAGCGACAUGGCCUUGCUACUGUGUCGAUGGGUAAGAAGAAGGGAAGCGGGCCGUCGGCUGGCUGUGGAAGAGCUUUCUCUCUCCCCUCAGAAAGCCCAGCCGUCACAGAGAAGGUUGUUGAAGGUUGUCAGUAGUUUGGCAUCCCUGCUGAGAUACUGGACAGUCACACGGUUAGACCUGACUGAGUUCUGUGCUCCUGCUCUGGGUCUCCUCCCACUGCUGCUUCAUGAUGGCCCUCUAACGAUCAGGUAGAAGUAUUCCAUACUGAUGUAAUGUAUUCAUCCUGGACUCUUCUAACAGAUAUUCAUACGUUUUCUAUCUGCAGACUGAGUGAGAAGACUUUCCAGCAGCUGCUCUCCCUCCUCCAUGAGAUCCAGGACAAGGACUUGACCCGGUCCUUCUUGAGUAAGGUUGGUGGAGACCUGAGCAGCUUCUGUCUGAACUGGGAGCUUCUUCACUAUCUGCUUCAGCAGUCGUCAGCUCACACCAUCACGGUGAACCUGAGGAGGAACCGCUUCUUACAGGAGAGCGUCACACGUCUGCUUCCCUUUCUGGAUAGGAUUGUGUUCAAAGGGUGAUCUAUUUGGGUUUUUUAUCAUGCUGUUUAAUCAUUUCUAUACGUGUUGUUGUGACUUGUUCUCACUAAACAAAGACCCCUGGUGACAUUACAAGAUAACUCUGUUCUAUUCUAUCAGUAAUAAACAUAUUGUUUACCGUCUCUUUCACAGAAGUUUGUUUAACCUGAAGCUUUGUUUCCAACUUGUCUGAUCAUCCGACCGCUUGUGUGUCUCGAUCAAUCAGAAGGCUUAUCGGUGACGUCACCAUGUUCCCAGAUCUUAUCUAUGAACGGGCUCUAUGUUGUUGUGACUGAUAGAAAUGAAGGAGAAAACUACAACAAUAAGAGUACAAGUUGUCAGGAAACAUAGUUAUCCUUUAAUUUUUGAUUGUUAGAUGUAUUUUUCCUCCAGUGUUGACAGGAAACUGCUGCUGAGGUUUGUCCACAGCUGUGCUGCCUCUGAUGCCCAGCAGGGGGCAGCAGUCCACCUGCUCAGGACCGUGCAGCACAGGCUGGAUCUGUCCUGCUCCUCCUGUGUGGAGCUGGAUGUCAGUAAGACUCUCAGGCUGACUGCUGAGGACUGCAGGGCCGUCUCCACCAUCCUGAGACGCAGCAGCCAGAAAGCAGAGCUCAUCCUGCAGGACUGUGAGGUGGAGGACAGCGGACUGGACCUGCUGUUUCCUGUCCUAGACCGAGUCCUCCUCAGAGCCAGUAAAGCCGUCGUCCUCCAGCUGCUGUCCCUGGUUCCUGUGAACAGUGAGAGGGACACAGUGAGACGGGCAGUGUCCCUCUGUGGAGCCCUGGGUGGAGAGCUGGACCUCAGUCACACCACACUGGAUCAGAGGGCCUGUGGAGCUUUGUCCCUGAUGCUGGAUUUCUCUGAGGGGCUGACUGAGCUGGACCUGGAUAAUAUCAGUGUAGUGCAAGUACUAACACUGUGUUUACAGUAGUCAGCUGGUGCGAUGAUAAUUAUGGAUUAUUCUUUAAGCUGCUCAUAUUUAUGAUGGACACCCUGUGAGAUUCAUCAAAUUGUUCCGUUGGGAUAACAAGUAGAGGCCAUAACUGUUCUAUCAAUAUCA